AUUGGCCUGGUAUUAAAUUAGGGGGUGUGACAGGAGUUUUUUUUUAUCACUCUCUAAUUUGGUUAAUGCCCCUGGAGUAUGUAAUCAUAUCGAUGGCAACGUCCUGGACUGGUUCGUUAGUAUAUUCAUGGUUCCAGGGAUAUUAGUUCAAAUAAACUUUGGUCGUUUGCCUUGUGGAUCAAUUCUGACAAGUCUUUUGACUAUGGUUUUAUGGGGAACCUACUUUAUAGUGUGAGCUUUAUUGUGAUUUUAGCUGGCGUAGUCGGCUAGCUAGAGAGUACAACUACAUUACUGUGUUCUAUGGUCCAGAAUUCAAGUGAGAAUAAUCCUUUCAUAAUCAGUGUCCUCCAGUAUUCACACAGGAAUAUUUCACAGACGGUCAUUGAACAUGGUAAUUGAAAAACAAUCCAUCUCCAUGGUUGAGUUAAGGAGCUAAAUUCAAGAGCUAUAUGCAUGAAGGACAGCUCGGCAUGUCCGAAUUUGAUUAGCUGCUCUUGCUGGGUACAUAAAUGAAUUAAUCCUGCCUUUUGUCCUUCAGAUGCAUUCACCGAGAUCCCUUGUGGGAGAAAGGAAGUUAAUUAAGAUCAUGGUAAAGGAGAGAACCACACCUUUGCCGUGGCAAUCUCCAGGAUGAGGCGUUCCCACGGAAGUCCUGGGGUCACUGACGCCAGGAGAGGUGUGAAGACUGAUAACUUUAAUCAACAAAAUGGAAGCUGUUUGUCUGAUGGCUGUCAGCUCGAAGUGGAACGACACAGGUGCACUCCUACAGUAUCAUACAGUUUUGGGGUGUGGUGAUUACUUUAGAGAAUUCGUGUGAGGUUUUAUGCCUUUUGUUUUAAUGUUUUGGGCCAUGCAAAGUGAUGCUAAUUAGACGUGAGGAGAUACUGGGAU